UACGGAGGGGGCUAGCGUUGUUCGGAAUUACUGGGCGUAAAGCGCACGUAGGCGGCUUUGCAAGUUAGAGGUGAAAGCCCGGGGCUCAACUCCGGAAUUGCCUUUAAAACUGCAUCGCUAGAAUUGUGGAGAGGUAAGUGGAAUUCCGAGUGUAGAGGUGAAAUUCGUAGAUAUUCGCAAGAACACCAGUGGCGAAGGCGGCUGACUGGUCCGGUUCUGACGCUGAGGCGCGAAAGCGUGGGGGAGCAAACAGG
rnacentral:rRNA from 1 species